AAGACUAAUUGCUCUUUCAUUUGUUCAAAUAAUAAAUUCUGAUUCCUUCACACCUUGUUUUAGGAUGAAAAGAAAAAGGUUGGGCUGUGGUGAAUCUUAAGGAGUGCACAUUAGUAUGAAAGGAUCCCAGAAGAAAUUCAAUAAAUUCAUGUGUUCUUUCUUCCCUUGAAGACAUUACAUUCAGCAGAAUUUCAUGUUACCCAUAGUUACUGGAAAAUUUAAAAACAUAGGGCUUCCCAUUGAAAACAUGACCACUAUGGAGAUGGCAUCACCAUCCACUCAUGUAAGUGCAUAUGAUAUGAGAGCCCUCUCUUCUAUUCUGUUCUAUUCACUGACUCAUACAGCAACUUCAUCUCCAACUCACUAAGAAGGAUAUGCGUCUUCUUUUUCUCCUUUCUGCUACUACUGCAUCGGGUGAAUUAAGCAAGUUAUGUCACAG
rnacentral:lncRNA from 1 species